GACAAAUCCAGCAAUGAAGGCUGUGAUUGGAAGAUUAUUGCAUCAAUGAAGGAUGCAUUGCAACACUAUCCCAGAAAAAUGAGCCUAAAGCUCUGAUACCAUGAAGAAUUUAGAGAAAAGAAUUGUGAUAAUUCUCUAUAUAUUUGUACCAAGAUUACAAAGCUAUUUAUAGGACUUCUACAAGUACUAACUAGGAAAAAACAGAUCUGUAAAAUACAGCUAUAAUCCCACAAAUCAAGGGAUACUAAUAAAUCAUUUCCUAACUAAUUAUUUACAGCUAUUUCCUAAUAAUUAGGACCCAAAAAAUCAGGAUUGAAUAUUCCUAAUAAUUAGAUCCUAAAAAUCAGGAUAAUUCAA
rnacentral:lncRNA from 1 species